AUCACCGCCGGACGGACGGGGGUCGCGAGGGUUGGGGAACCCGAUGACCGCCCUCGUCCGAGAUGACCCAGGGUCCAGGGAGCCCCGGGCCGGUCGCUCCGGCGAAGGAG
rfam:Actinomyces sp. oral taxon 414 strain F0588, complete genome.